UACGUAGGGGGCUAGCGUUGUCCGGACUCAUUGGGCGUAAAGCGCGUGUAGGCGGUCCGGUAAGUCCGCUGUGAAAGUCGGGGGCUCAACCCUCGGAUGCCGGUUGAUACUGUCGGGCUAGAGUGCGGAAGGGGCAAUCGGAAUUCUUGGUGUAGCGGUGAAAUGCGUAGAUAUCAAGAGGAACACCUGAGGUGAAGACGGGUUGCUGGGCCGACACUGACGCUGACAGCGCGAAAGCCAGGGGAGCAAACGGG
rnacentral:rRNA from 1 species